GACGAACGCUGGCGGCGUGCUUAACACAUGCAAGUCGAGCGGUAAGGCCCUUUCGGGGGUACACGAGCGGCGAACGGGUGAGUAACACGUGGGUGACCUGCCCUUAGCUCUGGGAUAAGCCUGGGAAACUGGGUCUAAUACCGGAUAUGACUCCAUGACGCAUGUUGUGGGGUGGAAAGCCUUGUGCGGCUAGGGAUGGGCCCGCGGCCUAUCAGCUUGUUGGUGGGGUGAGGCCUACCAAGGCGACGACGGGUAGCCGGCCUGAGAGGGCGACCGGCCACACUGGGACUGAGACACGGCCCAGACUCCUACGGGAGGCAGCAGGUGGGGAAUCUUGCGCAAUGGGCGAAAGCCUGACGCAGCGACGCCGCGUGGGGAGUGACGGCCU
rnacentral:rRNA from 1 species